rnacentral:tRNA from 1 species
GACAUGUUAGUUCAAUGGUCAGAAUAUUGUGCUACGGACACAAUGAUAUAAGUUCAAAUCUUGUACAUGUUU